UUUUAUGGAAAAUACCUUCAAUGUAGGUCUGGAUUCAACUGAUCUUGCCUUGGCUCGUGCUUGAUCUCACUCAGAAUGCUUGCAAGAGUAGAAUGAAAUGCACAAAAGGUCUUCUGGAGUUUUAAAUCUCAAAACAGUGAGAUUCACACUCAAUUUCAAGAUGAAAUUAUCAGGAUUAUCCUCUCAAAUGGAAGGGUUAGGGGUUUAGGAUCAAAUCUAG
rnacentral:lncRNA from 1 species